rnacentral:rRNA from 1 species
GACGUAGGGCGCGAGCGUUGUCCGGAUUUAUUGGGCGUAAAGAGCUCGUAGGCGGCCUGUCGCGUCUGCUGUGAAAUCCCGGGGCUCAACCCCGGGCGUGCAGUGGAUACGGGCUGGCUAGAGGCAGGCAGGGGAGAACGGAAUUCCCGGUGUAGCAGUGAAAUGCGUAGAGAUCGUAAGGAAGACCAGUGGCGAAGGCGGGUCUCUGGACAGUUCCUGACGCUGAGGCACGAAGGUCAGGGGAGCAAACGGG